AGUGAACGCUGGCGGUAGGCCUAACACAUGCAAGUCGAACGGCAGCACAGUAAGAGCUUGCCCUUACGGGUGGCGAGUGGCGGACGGGUGAGGAAUAGAUCGGAAUCUACUUUUUCGUGGGGGAUAACGUAGGGAAACUUACGCUAAUACCGCAUACGACCUACGGGUGAAAGCAGGGGAUCUUCGGACCUUGCGCGAUUGAAUGAGCCGAUGUCGGAUUAGCUAGUUGGCGGGGUAAAGGCCCACCAAGGCGACGAUCCGUAGCUGGUCUGAGAGGAUGAUCAGCCACACUGGAACUGAGACACGGUCCAGACUCCUACGGGAGGCAGCAGUGGGGAAUAUUGGACAAUGGGCGAAAGCCUGAUCCAGCCAUACCGCGUGGGUGAAGAAGGCCUUCGGGUUGUAAAGCCCUUUUGUUGGGAAAGAAAAGCAGCAGGUUAAUACCCCGCUGUUCUGACGGUACCCAAAGAAUAAGCACCGGCUAACUUCGUG
rnacentral:rRNA from 1 species